AUUGAACGCUGGCGGCAUGCCUUACACAUGCAAGUCGAACGGCAGCACGGGGGCAACCCUGGUGGCGAGUGGCGAACGGGUGAGUAAUACAUCGGAACGUGCCCGAUAGUGGGGGAUAGCUCGGCGAAAGCCGGAUUAAUACCGCAUACGACCUACGGGUGAAAGCGGGGGAUCGCAAGACCUCGCGCUAUCAGAGCGGCCGAUGUCAGAUUAGGUUGUUGGUGGGGUAAAGGCCUACCAAGCCGACGAUCUGUAGCUGGUCUGAGAGGACGACCAGCCACACUGGGACUGAGACACGGCCCAGACUCCUACGGGAGGCAGCAGUGGGGAAUUUUGGACAAUGGGCGAAAGCCUGAUCCAGCCAUGCCGCGUGCGGGAAGAAGGCCUGGUGU
rnacentral:rRNA from 1 species